rnacentral:rRNA from 1 species
UACGUAGGGUGCAAGCGUUGUCCGGAAUUAUUGGGCGUAAAGAGCUCGUAGGCGGUCUGUUGCGUCGGCUGUGAAAACCCGGGGCUCAACUCCGGGCCUGCAGCCGAUACGGGCAGACUGAGAGUUCGGCAGGGGAGGACUGGAAUCCUGGUGUAGCGGUGAAAUGCGCAGAUAAUCAGGAGGAACACCGGUGGCGAAGGCGGGUCUCUGGGCCGAUACUGACGCUGGAGGCGCGAAAGCGUGGGGAGCGAACAGG